rnacentral:rRNA from 1 species
UACGUAGGGGGCUAGCGUUGUCCGGAAUCAUUAGGCGUAAAGCGCGUGUAGGCGGUCCGGUAAGUCCGCUGUGAAAGUCGGGGGCUCAACCUCGGAUGCCGGUGGAUACUGUCGGGCUUGAGUACGGAAGAGGCGAGUGGAAUUCCUGGUGUAGCGGUGAAAUGCGCAGAUAUCAGGAGGAACACCAGUGCGAAGGCGGCUCGUGG